UGGGGAUUGGCCAAGCGGUAAGGCACCGGGUUCUGGUCCCGGGAUCGGGGGUUCGAAUCCCUCAUCCCCAGCCA
rnacentral:tRNA from 1 species